GUUAAUGUAGCUUAAUAUACAAAGCAAAGCACUGAAAAUGCUAAGAUGGGCNNCCACCAUAGCCCCAUAAACA
rnacentral:tRNA from 1 species